rnacentral:lncRNA from 1 species
UUUCAGCAACGUCUCCUUGAAGCUUACUCCAGUACUGGCGGAAUAUUCACAGCCUAAAAUAUUCAUACAACCCCAGCGGGUAUACAAUUGGAGCUCUGGAUAUAUUCCUUCUAGAUUUUUUACCCACGACUUUUAUUAUCCAGUGCUCUUCAGUGAUCCCAAGUGUUUGAUUACAGGAUUCAUUGGAGGCAAAGGCCAGGCCUUUUGUAUGCUGUGGGUGAUGGAAGAAGCUAUGGACAGGCCUCUGCGUCAUUGCAGCUUUACACUUCUUACCAUGUGUGGCAAGCCAAUAUUUAAUGCUUACGCUUAUGACACCAGAGAAAAAGCUUGCGGAUUCCGUCGUAGAAGGAAACAAGCCGUAUUAAAAGGAGUAUAAUUUUUUGCUGUUUAUUAUUUGGCAGCACAAGGUCUUGUAAAAGAAAUUGACAAACUUUAAGUGGAAGAGAUUUUCGGCGCAUAGGCUAGAAAACUUUGGGGUAGCUUGAAAGCGUAUUACUAGCAAGUAAGUUUUAAAAUUGUGCGACAAUAAGCUUGCCAGCUUUGUGCUGGGUGAAUAUAAACAUUCCAUGGCACCACAC